UGGGGUGUAGCUCAAUUGGCAGAGCGCCCGGCUGUUAACCGGGAGGUUGCUGGUUCGAGGCCAGCCGCCCCAG
rnacentral:tRNA from 1 species